AUGGUGACUUUUGGGGACCUGGAACGUCUCGGGGGGCACCUCACCUAUAGUUUGCCACUACGUCUGGGGGAACUCGAACUUAUUGACUUUAUUGCACCAAGUCGUUCAGAUGAACAAGACACCGUGGGGAAGGUGAAGGGCGGAGUCAAUGGAUUUGGUCGUAUUGGGCAUCUGGUCACUAGGACUGCUUUUAACUCUGGUAAAGUGAAUACUGUUACCCUCAAUCAUCCCUUCAUUGACCUCAACUACAUGGUCUACAUGUUCCAGUAUGACUCCACCCAUGGCAAAUUCCAUGGCACUGUCAAGGCUGAGAACGGGAAGCUUGUCAUCAAUGGAAAUCCCAUCACCAUCUUCCAGGAGCGAGAUCCCUCCCAAAUCAAGUGGGGCGAUGCUGGCGCUGAGUACGUGGUGGAGUCCACUGGUGUCUUCACCACCAUGGAGAAAGCUGGGGCUCACUUGCAGGGGAGAGCCAAAAGGUUCAUCAUCUCUGCUCCCUCUGCUGAUGGCCUCAGUUCGUGAUGGGCAUCGUCAGCAAUGCCUCCUGCACCACCAACUGCUUAGCGCCCCUGGCAAACAUCAUCCAUGACAACUCUGGCAUUGAGGAAGGACUCAAGACACAGUCCACGUCAUCACUGCCACCUAGAAGACUGUGGACGGCCCCUCUGGGAAAACUGUGGUAUGAUGGCUGUGGGGCUCUCCAGAACAUCAUCCCUGCCUCUGCUGGUGCUGCCAAGACCAUGGGCAAGGUCAUCCCUUAGCUGAACAAGCUCACUGGCAUGGCCUAAUGUGCCCCACUGCCAACAUGUCAGUGGUAGACCUGACCUGCCGUCUGGAAAAACCUGCCAAAUAUGAUAUCGUGGUGAAGCAGGCGUCAGAGGACCCCCUCCAGGGCAUCCUGGGCUACACUGAGCACCAGGUGGUCUCCUCUGACUUCAACAGCAACACCCACCCUGACAUUGCCCUCUAUGAGCACUUUUCAAGCUCAGUUCCUGGCAUGACAAUGAAUUUGGCUACAGCAACAGUGUGGUGGACCUCAUGUCCCACAUGGCCUCCAAGGAGUAAGACCCCUAUGAGAGCAUGA